rnacentral:rRNA from 1 species
AACGAACGCUGGCGGCAGGCCUAACACAUGCAAGUCGAGCGAAGCCUUCGGGCUUAGCGGCGGACGGGUGAGUAACGCGUGGGAACGUGCCCUUUGCUACGGAAUAGCCCCGGGAAACUGGGAGUAAUACCGUAUGUGCCCUUCGGGGGAAAGAUUUAUCGGCAAAGGAUCGGCCCGCGUUGGAUUAGGUAGUUGGUGGGGUAAUGGCCUACCAAGCCGACGAUCCAUAGCUGGUUUGAGAGGAUGAUCAGCCACACUGGGACUGAGACACGGCCCAGACUCCUACGGGAGGCAGCAGUGGGGAAUCUUAGACAAUGGGGGAAACCCUGAUCUAGCCAUGCCGCGUGAUCGAUGAAGGCCUUAGGGUUGUAAAGAUCUUUCAGUGGGGAAGAUAAUGACUGUAUCCACAGAAGAAGCCCCGGCUAACUCCGUGCCAGCCGCCGCCGUAA